GAAUUCGCCCUUAGAGUUUGAUCCUGGCUCAGGGUGAACGCUGGCGGCGUGCCUAAGACAUGCAAGUCGAACGGGCCUGAUUUCGGUCAGGCUAGUGGCGGACGGGUGAGUAACACGUGGGUGAUCUACCCCAAAGUCUGGGACAACUAGGGGAAACCUUAGCUAAUCCCGGAUGGUGAGGCUUCUCCUGUGAAGUCUCUAAAGAUUUAUCGCUUUGGGAUGAGCCCGCGGCGCAUCAGCUAGUUGGUGGGGUAAUGGCCUACCAAGGCGACGACGCGUAGCUGGUCUGAGAGGACGACCAGCCACAGGAGCACUGAGACACGGGCUCCACUCCUACGGGAGGCAGCAGUUAGGAAUCUUCGUCAAUGGGCGAAAGCCUGAACGAGCGACGCCGCUUGAGGGACGAAGCCCUUCGGGGUGUAAACCUCUGAACAGGGGACGAUGAUGACGGUACCCUGCUAAUAGCACCGGCUAACUCCGUGCCAGCAGCCGCGGUAAUACGGAGGGUGCGAGCGUUACCCGGAUUUACUGGGCGUAAAGGGCGUGUAGGCGGUUUUCUAAGUCCGGGGCUAAAGACCAGGGCUCAACCCUGGGUUUGCCUUGGAUACUGGAAAGCUCGACGGCUGGAGGGGGCAGCGGAAUUUCCGGAGUAGCGGUGAAAUGCGCAGAUACCGGAAGGAACGCCAAUAGCGAAGGCAGCUGCCUGGACAGUACGUGACGCUGAGGCGCGAAAGCGUGGGGAGCAAACCGGAUUAGAUACCCGGGUAGUCCACGCCCUAAACGAUGAGUGCUGGGUGUCCGGCGUUUGCCGGGUGCCGAAGCUAACGCGUUAAGCACUCCGCCUGGGAAGUACGGUCGCAAGACUGAAACUCAAAUGAAUUGACGGGGGCAAGGGCGAAUUC
rnacentral:rRNA from 1 species